UUGGAGGGCAAGUCUGGUGCCAGCAGCCGCGGUAAUUCCAGCUCCAAUAGCGUAUAUUAAAGUUGUUGCAGUUAAAAAGCUCGUAGUUGAAUUUCGGGGUCAGUAGGUCGGUCGUGCCACUGGUAUGAACUGGUUUUACUGAUUCCUCCCUCUUGAAGAACUGUAAUGCCAUUAAUUUGGUGUUGCAGGGAAUCAGGACUGUUACUUUGAAAAAAUUAGAGUGUUUAAAGCAGGCUUUAGCUUGAAUAAAUUAGCAUGGAAUAAUGAAAUAGGACGUUUGAUCCUAUUUUGUUGGUUUCUAGGAUUGACGUAAUGAUUAAUAGGGAUAGUUGGGGGCAUUAGUAUUCAAUUGUCAGAGGUGAAAUUCUUGGAUUUAUUGAAGACUAACUACUGCGAAAGCAUUUGCCAAGGAUGUUUCCAUUAAUCAAGAACGAAAGUUAGGGGAUCGAAGACGAUCAGAUACCGUCGUAGUCUUAACCAUAAACUACGCCGACUAGGGAUCGGAUGAUGUUAAUUUUUUAAUGACUCAUUCGGCGCCUUACGGGAAAC
rnacentral:rRNA from 1 species